UAAACCUUGUAAACCAAGUUUAUAAAUCCCUUCUAAUCCACACACAAAGGCAAUGAGUCGCCACGCAAUAUCUGUGGAAUUAGACCUAUUUUUAAAUUCGCCUUCUUUUUGACCGCAUUCAAUCGAUUGCACAAUAGCUUGAUGCCAACUUUGCAUGGCGAGGUUAUACGCUUUUUGUAUUUCAAUAUCUUGUUCAAUUAAGAGUUCAGCUUCAUUCCAUAAACGUAAGUAGGGCUGAAGCCUGUCUAUAUUUUCUGCACCUAAUAAGAUGAAGAGUCUUUGAAAUUGGCUAGUUGUUUGGAGAGUUUGUUCAAUUUCAUCAAGCUGUUCCAUCAGCUUUAAAAAAGCUUCAGCUUUUAAAUGAGAUGCCGAAGAAAAAUGAUGAUGGACUUGUCCGGUAGAGGUUUGUGCUUCUGUUGCGAUUCGACGUACCGUCAUGGCUGUAAAACCUUCAGCCAAAGCAAUUUGCAUGGCAGCUUGCAGAAUCAUUUCUCUGCGUUGAUCGCGAUUAAGAUAGGCCAUGUUUCUUACACCUGACUGAAUUCGACACAAACUACAUUAAAAUUUAAAGUUGGACAAGUGUCCAAUUGUGUAUAUAAUAACCGCAAUUUGAACACAUGUCUAAGUUUUGGAUAUCGAAGAGCGUUAUGCAAAAAAAAUGGUUAAUCCUCACAAUUAUCGUCCUCAUUUAUUUACCUGUUACGAUUGAUGCAACGGUGAUGCAUGUUGCAACACCAUCUUUAAGUGCAGCAUUGAAUUUAACUGCCAAUCAGCUUUUAUGGAUUAUUGAUAUUUAUUCGCUGAUUAUGGCGGGUUUGAUUUUACCGAUGGGUGCACUCGGUGAUCGUAUUGGCUUUAAAAAAUUAUUAUUUAUUGGAACCGCAGUUUUUGGUGUUGGUUCUUUAGCUGCGGCUUUUUCUCCAACUGCCUAUGCCUUAAUUGCUUCUCGUGCUGUCUUAGGUCUAGGGGCAGCUAUGCUUAUUCCUGCCACUUUAUCAGGUAUCCGUAAUGCUUUUACCGAAGAAAAACAGAGAAAUUUUGCACUUGGUCUUUGGUCUACAGUAGGUGGAGGUGGAGCAGCUUUUGGUCCACUAGUUGGUGGUUUUGUAUUAGAGCAUUUCCACUGGGGAGCUGUAUUCCUCAUUAAUAUCCCGAUCAUUUUAGUGGUUCUAGUUAUGAUCGUGAUGAUCAUUCCUAAACAACAAGAGAAAACUGAUCAGCCAAUUAACUUAGGGCAAGCUUUAGUUUUGGUUGUAGCAAUUUUAAGCCUCAUCUAUUCAAUCAAAUCGGCUAUGUAUAACUUCUCGGUGCUCACGGUUGUGAUGUUUGUGGUGGGUAUAAGCACAUUAAUUCACUUCAUUCGAAGCCAAAAAAGAGCUACGACACCAAUGAUUGAUCUGGAAUUGUUUAAACAUCCUGUGAUUUCUACCAGUAUUGUUAUGGCAGUUGUGUCCAUGAUUGCUUUGGUUGGCUUUGAAUUAUUACUGUCUCAAGAGUUGCAGUUUGUACACGGGUUUUCUCCAUUACAGGCGGCGAUGUUUAUUAUUCCAUUUAUGAUUGCAAUUAGUUUAGGUGGUCCAUUAGCAGGUAUUUGUUUAAAUAAAUGGGGUUUACGUAGAGUAUCGAGCCUAGGUAUUUUAGUGAGCGCGCUCAGUUUAUGGGGGCUUGCUCAGCUCAACUUUUCAACCGACCACUUUUUAGCAUGGACGUGUAUGGUCUUUUUGGGCUUUAGUAUUGAGAUUGCCUUACUGGCCUCAACUGCUGCCAUUAUGUCAUCUGUGCCCCCUCAAAAGGCGAGUGCAGCAGGUGCUAUUGAGGGAAUGGCCUAUGAACUUGGCGCUGGUUUGGGCGUUGCUAUAUUUGGGUUAAUGUUGUCUUGGUUUUAUAGCCGCUCAAUUAUUUUGCCAGCCGAGCUUCCGUCAAACUUAAUUGAAAAAGCGAGUAUCUCGAUUGGAGAAACCAUGCAAUUAGCCUCUAAUCUUGAAAAUCCUUUAGGAGGGCAAUUAGUUGUAGUGGCGCAGCAAGCUUUUAGCUAUGCACAUAGUUGGGUACUUACCAUCUCAGCGAUCUGUUUCUUCCUUUUAACUGUAUUUGUCUGGUUUAGUUUUCCGAAGAAAGUAAAUUAAUAUUUUUCACAGUAUUUAAAGUUUCGGUAGAAAACUUUUUCUUCGAAACUUUAAAAUUCACUGAUAGUCCAGACAAAUGAUGUAGUUCGCAGUUUAUCUGUACGGAUAUGAGCUUUAUACGUUCACACUCUUUUAAAAACAAAGUAUGCUUAUGCCUGUAACAAGGAGCAUACAUGUAUCAAGUACUUGCUAGAAAAUACCGUCCACGUAAUUUCAAUGAGUUAGUGGGACAAAACCAUGUUUCUCGUGCAUUAAGUAGUGCAUUGGAACGCGGUCGUCUUCACCAUGCUUAUUUAUUUACAGGAACGCGUGGUGUAGGUAAAACUACAAUUGCACGUAUUUUAGCCAAGUGUUUGAACUGUGAAACAGGUGUGACUUCUACGCCAUGUGAAGUUUGUGCCACUUGUAAGGCGGUAAAUGAAGGCCGUUUUAUUGACCUAAUCGAAAUCGAUGCUGCUUCAAGAACAAAAGUAGAAGAUACGCGUGAACUUUUAGACAACGUUCCUUAUGCACCAACGCAAGGUCGUUUUAAAGUUUAUCUGAUUGAUGAAGUACAUAUGCUCUCUACGCAUUCUUUUAAUGCGUUAUUAAAAACACUAGAAGAACCACCAGAACACGUUAAGUUUUUGUUUGCAACGACAGACCCACAAAAGCUACCGAUUACGGUUAUUUCACGUUGUUUGCAAUUUACUCUAAGACCUUUAGCUGUAGAUGAAAUUACCAAGCACCUCGGUGCUAUUCUUGAAAAAGAACAGAUCGCUGCUGACCAAGAUGCAAUCUGGCAAAUUGCUGAAUCUGCUCAAGGUUCAUUACGUGAUGCAUUAUCUUUAACUGACCAAGCGAUUGCUUAUGGGCAGGGUGCUGUACAUCAUCAAGAUGUUAAAGAAAUGCUUGGCUUGAUUGACCGUACGAUCAUAUAUGAUUUGAUUUUAGCGGUUCAUCAAAACCAACGUGAAAAAGUGAGCCAGUUAUUACUCCAAUUUAGAUAUCAAGCCUUAGAUGUCUCGUUAGUACUGGAUCAGCUCAUUUCAACAUUGCAUGAGUUGGCUUUAUUACAAUAUUUACCAGAGCUCGGCUUAAAGUAUAGUGAAGAAAUUAAUGCCAAAAUUCUUCAGCUUUCUAAACUGAUUUCUGCUCAAGAUUUGCAGCUUUACUACCAAAUCGCAUGUAAAGGCCGUUCAGACUUGCAGCUUGCCGUAACGCAAGAGCAAGGUUUUGAAAUGUGCGUUUUACGAUUAUUGGCAUUCCGUCCUUUAGCACCAAAUGAAAUUUUAGUUUCAGAGCCUGUUCAACAAAAUGGGCAAGCAGAAGUAGGCCUAAAUUCACAAGCUCAAACAGCCCAAGUGAUUGCUCCUGUAAGUGCUGUUCAGCCUGUUGAAGUUAUUAGCCAACCCGCUAUGGUUGAACCUGAACCUGAACCUGAAUGCUGGAGGUAUCAGAAGUGCGAAUGCUGACGUGAGUAACGACAAAACGGGUGAAAAACCCGUUCGCCGAAAGACCAAGGGUUCCAGUCCAACGUUAAUCGGGGCUGGGUGAGUCGACCCCUAAGGCGAGGCCGAAAGGCGUAGUCGAUGGGAAAAUGGUUAAUAUUCCAUUACUUCUGUGUAAUGCGAUGAGAGGACGGAGAAGGCUAAAUCAGCCUGGCGUUGGUUGUCCAGGUGAAAGGAUGUAGGCAUGUAUCUUAGGCAAAUCCGGGGUACUCUAUGCUGAGAUCUGAUAGCAAGCUGUACUUGUACAGCGAAGUGGUUGAUGCCAUGCUUCCAGGAAAAGUCUCUAAGCUUCAGUUACACAGGAAUCGUACCCGAAACCGACACAGGUGGUCAGGUCGAGUAGACCAAGGCGCUUGAGAGAACUCUGCUGAAGGAACUAGGCAAAAUGGUACCGUAACUUCGGGAGAAGGUACGCUGUUGUUGGUGAUGGAACUCGCUUCCUGAGCUGACGACAGCCGCAGAAACCAGGCCGCUGCAACUGUUUAUUAAAAACAUAGCACUCUGCAAACACGAAAGUGGACGUAUAGGGUGUGAUGCCUGCCCGGUGCUGGAAGGUUAAUUGAUGGGGUUAGCGUAAGCGAAGCUCUUGAUCGAAGCCCCAGUAAACGGCGGCCGUAACUAUAACGGUCCUAAGGUAGCGAAAUUCCUUGUCGGGUAAGUUCCGACCUGCACGAAUGGCAUAAUGAUGGCGGCGCUGUCUCCAGCAGAGGCUCAGUGAAAUCGAAAUCGCUGUGAAGAUGCAGUGUACCCGCGGCUAGACGGAAAGACCCCGUGAACCUUUACUGCAGCUUGACACUGAACUUUGACCUUACUUGUGUAGGAUAGGUGGGAGGCUUUGAAGCUGGAACGCUAGUUCCAGUGGAGCCGUCCUUGAAAUACCACCCUGGUAAUGUUGAGGUUCUAACUCUGUCCCGUGAUCCGGGACGAGGACCGUGUCUGGUGGGUAGUUUGACUGGGGCGGUCUCCUCCUAAAGAGUAACGGAGGAGUACGAAGGUGCGCUCAGCGUGGUCGGAAAUCACGCGUAGAGUAUAAAGGCAAAAGCGCGCUUAACUGCGAGACCCACAAGUCGAGCAGGUACGAAAGUAGGUCUUAGUGAUCCGGUGGUUCUGUAUGGAAGGGCCAUCGCUCAACGGAUAAAAGGUACUCUGGGGAUAACAGGCUGAUACCGCCCAAGAGUUCAUAUCGACGGCGGUGUUUGGCACCUCGAUGUCGGCUCAUCUCAUCCUGGGGCUGAAGCAGGUCCCAAGGGUAUGGCUGUUCGCCAUUUAAAGAGGUACGCGAGCUGGGUUUAGAACGUCGUGAGACAGUUCGGUCCCUAUCUACCGUGGGCGCUGGAAAUUUGAGAGGAUCUGCUCCUAGUACGAGAGGACCAGAGUGGACGAACCUCUGGUGUACCGGUUGUGACGCCAGUCGCAUCGCCGGGUAGCUAUGUUCGGAAGGGAUAACCGCUGAAAGCAUCUAAGCGGGAAGCCUACCUCAAGAUAAGAUUUCCCUAGGACUUUAUGUCCUCUAAAGAGCCGUUCGAGACUAGGACGUUGAUAGGUUGGAUGUGGAAGCAUAGUGAUAUGUGAAGCUGACCAAUACUAAUUGCUCGUGAGGCUUGACUAUACAACACCCAAGCAGUUGUAUAUGAAGCAUCAAUCGAUUCUUAAAUAUGCAAGACAACUUGAUUUAGUUAUACCUCUAGCUAAAAUGAACAGAUAAAGUAAGAUUCAAUUCAGCCCAGUCUGUUACAGAUUUGGAAAACGCUUCGGCAUCAAGUAAGACCCAAGCAAGUAUCCAUAAACAGU
rnacentral:rRNA from 1 species